rnacentral:tRNA from 1 species
GUCUCAGUAGCGCAAUGGAUAGCGCGUUGGAUUUCUAAUCCAAAGGUCGUAAAUUCGAAUCCUACCUGGGAUG